rnacentral:sRNA from 1 species
ACCCCAUAGACUCAGUGGAAUCAGAUUCUAGCUCAUCACUCGAUUCAAAACUAAACAGAUGGCCUUCCUCCAGCUGCCAGGUAAGAUGUGGUGCCCCUGAUGCAUCCAAAAUGCCGCUGGUUGGGUUCACACCCGGUUCUUUCAAUGAGACAAUAAAGUUAUCCCCCAAGUUCUCUAGAUCGGCCGCAAGAUCUGUCAGGAGAUAAGCCAAUGCUGCCUCUACUCCAGGUUCGCUGCCAUCUGAGUCACCUUCUAUGCCCUAUUUAGUUUUGAUGCUUAGUUCAGCCCUUUCUUCAUCAUCAUUGUCCUGUAACUGAUGGUCGAAGAAAAUCUCAAACUUGAGGACACCCUGCCUCGAGAAGUUUACCCAAGACUCGAGGAAGCCACAAAAAGGGAAAUCCUCUCCUUCUCGAACAAAACGGUCAUUCAGUGUCCCUUGGAU